rnacentral:tRNA from 1 species
GCGGGGGUACCCGAGCGGUCAAAGGGGACGGACUUAAGAUCCGUUGGCUAAGUGUCUACGUGGGUUCGAGUCCCAUCCCCCGCA